UGGGAGAGGCAGUGCAGGUCUACUUGU
rnacentral:piRNA from 1 species